rnacentral:rRNA from 2 species
CAAUAAGCGGAGGAAAAGAAACCAACAGGGAUUGCCUCAGUAACGGCGAGUGAAGCGGCAAGAGCUCAAAUUUGAAAUCUGGCUUCCUUUGGAGGUCCGAAUUGUAAUUUGUAGAGGAUGCUUUGGGUGCGGCCGCGGCGCAAGUCCCUUGGAACAGGGCGUCGCAGAGGGUGAGAACCCCGUCUUGAGUCGCUGGUACGUGCCCGUGCAAAGCUCCUUCGACGAGUCGAGUUGUUUGGGAAUGCAGCUCAAAGUGGGUGGUAAAUUUCAUCUAAAGCUAAAUAUUGGCCGGAGACCGAUAGCGCACAAGUAGAGUGAUCGAAAGGUUAAAAGCACCUUGAAAAGGGAGUUAAAAAGCACGUGAAAUUGUUGAAAGGGAAGCGCUUGCGACCAGACUUGGACGCGGGGGUUCAGCAGACAUGCUUGUCUGUGCACUCCGCCGCGCUCCAGGCCAGCAUCAGUUUUGACGGCCGGUCAAAGGCCUCUGGAAUGUGUCGUCCUCCGGGACGUCUUAUAGCCAGGGGUGCAAUGCGGCCAGUUGGGACUGAGGAACGCGCUUCGGCACGGAUGCUGGCAUAAUGGUCAUAAGCCACCCGUCUUGAAACAC